rnacentral:misc_RNA from 1 species
GAUGAAGAACGCAGCGAAAUGCGAUACGUAGUGUGAAUUGCAGAAUUCAGUGAAUCAUCGAAUCUUUGAACGCACAUUGCACCUCUCGGUAUUCCGGGAGGUAUGCCUGUUCGAGCGUCAUUUGAACCCUCAAGCUCUGCUUGGUGUUGGGUGUUUGUUCCGCCUCUGUGUGUGAACUCGCCUCAAAACAAUUGGCAGCCGGCGUACUUGUUUCGGAGCGCAGCACAUUUUGCGAUCCAGAUCAACGUACAGCGGCAUCCAAGAAGCCUUAUUUAACGCUCUUGACCUCGGAUCAGGUAGGGAUACCCGCUGAACUUAAGCAUAUCAAUAAGCGGAGGA